ACUCCUACGGGAGGCAGCAGUGGGGAAUAUUGCACAAUGGGCGCAAGCCUGAUGCAGCCAUGCCGCGUGUAUGAAGAAGGCCUUCGGGUUGUAAAGUACUUUCAGCAGUGAGGAAGGUGGAUAUGUUAAUAGCAUAUUCAUUUGACGUUAGCUGCAGAAGAAGCACCGGCUAACUCCGUGCCAGCAGCCGCGGUAAUACGGAGGGUGCGAGCGUUAAUCGGAAUUACUGGGCGUAAAGCGCAUGCAGGUGGUUUGUUAAGUCAGAUGUGAAAGCCCGGGGCUCAACCUCGGAAUUGCAUUUGAAACUGGCAAACUAGAGUACUGUAGAGGGGGGUAGAAUUUCAGGUGUAGCGGUGAAAUGCGUAGAGAUCUGAAGGAAUACCGGUGGCGAAGGCGGCCCCCUGGACAGAUACUGACACUCAGAUGCGAAAGCGUGGGGAGCAAACAGGAUUAGAUACCCUGGUAA
rnacentral:rRNA from 1 species